GACGUAGGGCGCGAGCGUUGUCCGGAUUUAUUGGGCGUAAAGAGCUCGUAGGCGGUUUGUCGCGUCGUUCGUGAAAACUCACAGCUCAACUGUGAGCUUGCGGUCGAUACGGGCAGGCUAGAGUUCGGUAGGGGAGACUGGAAUUCCUGGUGUAGCGGUGAAAUGCGCAGAUAUCAGGAGGAACACCGGUGGCGAAGGCGG
rnacentral:rRNA from 1 species